UACGUAGGUGACCAGCGUUGUCCGGAUUUACUGGGCGUAAAGAGCGCGCAGGCGGUCGUUCAAGUCGAGUGUGAAAGCCCCCCGGCUCAACUGGGGAGGGUCACUCGAUACUGAUCGACUGGAAGGCAGGAGAGGGAAGCGGAAUUCCCGGUGUAGUGGUGAAAUGCGUAGAUAUCGGGAGGAACACCAGUGGCGAAGGCGACUACCUGGCCUGUUCUUGACGCUGAGGCGCGAAAGCUAGGGGAGCAAACGGG
rnacentral:rRNA from 1 species